GUUUUUAUAGUUUAAAAAAAACAUUACAUUUUCAAUGUAAAAUUGAGGUUACUCUUUAAAUA
rnacentral:tRNA from 1 species